ACAGAGGGUGCGAGCGUUAAUCGGAAUUACUGGGCGUAAAGCGUGCGUAGACGGUUAUCUAAGUCGGGUGUGAAAUCCCCGGGCUCAACCUGGGAAUUGCAUUCGAGACUGAAUAGCUAGGGUUCGGAAGAGGGAAGCGGAAUUUCCGGUGUAGCGGUGAAAUGCGUAGAUAUCGGAAGGAACAUCAGUGGCGAAAGCGGCUUCCUGGUCCAGAACCGACGUUCAGGCACGAAAGCGUGGGGAGCAAACAGGAUUAGAUACCCUGGUAGUCCACGCCAUAAACGAUGACAACUAGACGUUGAGAGGGUUUGCCUCCCAGUGUCGAAGCUAACGCGUUAAGUUGUCCGCCUGGGGAGUACGGCCGCAAGGUUG
rnacentral:rRNA from 1 species